rnacentral:rRNA from 1 species
CUUGGUCAUUUAGAGGAAGUAAAAGUCGUAACAAGGUCUCCGUUGGUGAACCAGCGGAGGGAUCAUUACCGAGUUUACAACUCCCAAACCCCUGUGAACAUACCUAUACGUUGCCUCGGCGGAUCAGCCCGCGCCCCGUAAAAAGGGACGGCCCGCCCGAGGACCCCUAAACUCUGUUUUUAGUGGAACUUCUGAGUAAAACAAACAAAUAAAUCGAAACUUUCAACAACGGAUCUCUUGGUUCUGGCAUCGAUGAAGAACGCAGCAAAAUGCGAUAAGUAAUGUGAAUUGCAGAAUUCAGUGAAUCAUCGAAUCUUUGAACGCACAUUGCGCCCGCCAGUAUUCUGGCGGGCAUGCCUGUUCGAGCGUCAUUUCAACCCUCAAGCUCAGCUUGGUGUUGGGACUCGCGGUAACCCGCGUUCCCCAAAUCGAUUGGCGGUCACGUCGAGCUUCCAUAGCGUAGUAAUCAUACACCUCGUUACUGGUAAUCGUCGCGGCCACGCCGUAAAACCCCAACUUCUGAAUGUUGACCUCGGAUCAGGUAGGAAUACCCGCUGAACUUAAGCAUAUCAAUAAGCGGAGGA